CAGCGGACGGCUGAGUAAUGCACAGGAACGUACCUCGAAGUGGGGAAUAGCCCCGGGAAACCGGGGGUAAUACCGCAUGUGAUCGCAAGAUCAAAGCCUUCGGGCGCUUUGAGAACGGCCUGUGUCCUAUCAGGUAGUUGGUGAGGUAAUGGCUCACCAAGCCUAUGACGGGUAACUGGUCUGAGAGGAUGACCAGUCAGAUCGGGACUGAGACACGGCCCGA
rnacentral:rRNA from 1 species